rnacentral:misc_RNA from 1 species
UCAUUUCUUUAGUUUGUCAAAUAUUGAUGUCAUGUGUUCAGAGUUUUUCUUCAUCUAUAUUUAAUACGUAUGUAUAUGUACUCUGAAAAACACAACUUACCAGUAUGGUAAAGAGUGGAAGAUGAUAUUAUCGAUAGUUGGAAGGAUUCAUCAACACUAGAUUCAGAUAACUUUAAUUAAAUUACUUGCAGAUUUUCAAGAAAGAAGUUUAAUAUAAAAUGCAAUACUUUUUUAUGAAGGCUUUACAUGCACUGAUAUGGGUUCGUCACUUCAUUUUAUACAACACCAUUCAUGUCAUUAACAUUCAGUCUUGUUUUUGCAACAAUGUUUUGCUGUAACAUUAUUCUAGGAAAAAUAAUCCAGGAACAUUUCAAUUAUUUUGCAUGUUGUUUCAUCCAUUUCAUGACUCUUAAGUUCACAUAAACAUGUUAAACAGAUUGUUUCUCAUUCACUUCAUUAGAGUUGAUUUCUAAGAAAUCUGUUAUCUUUUUUCAAGACAUGGGUAAUGUAUCCUCAAGUUGGCUACCUCAGUUUUCAAAAUACUUACGUUGAGCAUUUCCAAAUCAAAUAAAACUCAUUUCAC